GACCGCGUAGCUCAGUUGGAAGAGCAUUGGGCUAGUAUUCCAAAGGUCGUAGGUGCGAAUCCCACCGUGGCCG
rnacentral:tRNA from 1 species